rnacentral:lncRNA from 1 species
AUCAAGUCAGCCGAAAAACAGGAACCUCGAAUUACUAGGGGGCAUUUCUUACACACCUUAUCAACAAGCACAUAAUGACCCAAGGGAUUCGACACUCUAAUAACGAACUCAGUAGACUCAACGGGUAAAGUCUUACUGGAUGCUAAAGUUUCACAUAUAUAAGAAUGAGUAGAACCAGGGUCAAUCAAAGCAAUCACAUCAGUAUCAAA